rnacentral:rRNA from 1 species
GAUGAACGCUGGCGGCGUGCCUAAUACAUGCAAGUCGAGCGAAUGGAUUAAGAGCUUGCUCUUAUGAAGUUAGCGGCGGACGGGUGAGUAACACGUGGGUAACCUACCCAUAAGACUGGGAUAACUCCGGGAAACCGGGGCUAAUACCGGAUAAUAUUUUGAACUGCAUAGUUCGAAAUUGAAAGGCGGCUUCGGCUGUCACUUAUGGAUGGACCCGCGUCGCAUUAGCUAGUUGGUGAGGUAACGGCUCACCAAGGCGACGAUGCGUAGCCGACCUGAGAGGGUGAUCGGCCACACUGGGACUGAGACACGGCCCAGACUCCUACGGGAGGCAGCAGUAGGGAAUCUUCCGCAAUGGACGAAAGUCUGACGGAGCAACGCCGCGUGAGUGAUGAAGGCUUUCGGGUCGUAAAACUCUGUUGUUAGGGAAGAACAAGUGCUAGUUGAAUAAGCUGGCAC